rnacentral:tRNA from 1 species
UUGGGUUUAGCUUAAUUAAAGUGUUUGGAUUGCAAUCCGAUUAUGUAAGAUAGAGUUUUACAGGGUCUC